rnacentral:rRNA from 1 species
AUUGAACGCUGGCGGCAUGCUUUACACAUGCAAGUCGAACGGCAGCGCGGGCUUCGGCCUGGCGGCGAGUGGCGAACGGGUGAGUAAUACAUCGGAACGUGCCCAGUAGUGGGGGAUAGCUCGGCGAAAGCCGGAUUAAUACCGCAUACGACCUGAGGGUGAAAGCGGGGGAUCUUCGGACCUCGCGCUAUUGGAGCGGCCGAUGGCAGAUUAGCUAGUUGGUGGGGUAAAGGCCUACCAAGGCGACGAUCUGUAGCUGGUCUGAGAGGACGACCAGCCACACUGGGACUGAGACACGGCCCAGACUCCUACGGGAGGCAGCAGUGGUGAAUUUUGGACAAUGGGCGAAAGCCUGAUCCAGCAAUGCCGCGUGUGUGAUGAAGGCCUUCGGGUUGUAAAGCACUUUUGGCGGGAACGAAAAGGACUGUGCCAAUACCACGGUUCGAUGACGGUACCCGCAGAAUAAGCACCGGCUAACUACGUG